rnacentral:tRNA from 1 species
AAUGGACCUUGCUCCUCCUUAGA